AUUGAACGCUGGCGGCAGGCUUAACACAUGCAAGUCGAGCGGGGUGAUGGUGCUUGCACUAUCACUUAGCGGCGGACGGGUGAGUAAUGCUUAGGAAUCUGCCUAUUAGUGGGGGACAACAUCUCGAAAGGGAUGCUAAUACCGCAUACGUCCUACGGGAGAAAGCAGGGGAUCACUUGUGACCUUGCGCUAAUAGAUGAGCCUAAGUCGGAUUAGCUAGUUGGUGGGGUAAAGGCCUACCAAGGCGACGAUCUGGAGCGGGUCUGAGAGGAUGAUCCGCCACACUGGGACUGAGACACGGCCCAGACUCCUACGGGAGGCAGCAGUGGGGAAUAUUGGACAAUGGGGGGAACCCUGAUCCAGCCAUGCCGCGUGUGUGAAGAAGGCCUUAUGGUUGUAAAGCACUUUAAGCGAGGAGGAGGCUACUUUAGUUAAUACCUAGAGAUAGUGGACGUUACUCGCAGAAUAAGCACCGGCUAACUCUGUGCCAGCCGCCGCAGUAA
rnacentral:rRNA from 1 species